rnacentral:tRNA from 1 species
GGGGCUGUAUCGGUCCGGUCUUCUAAGCCGGAAACCGUAACUGGACAGAUGUGCGUUCGAGCCGCACCAGCCUCACCA